rnacentral:rRNA from 1 species
UGCUCGAGUGGCGAACGGGUGAGUAACGCGUGAGUAACCUGCCCUUGACUUUGGGAUAACUUCAGGAAACUGGGGCUAAUACCGGAUAGGAGCUCCUGCUGCAUGGUGGGGGUUGGAAAGUUUCGGCGGUUGGGGAUGGACUCGCGGCUUAUCAGCUUGUUGGUGGGGUAGUGGCUUACCAAGGCUUUGACGGGUAGCCGGCCUGAGAGGGUGACCGGCCACAUUGGGACUGAGAUACGGCCCAG